GAGUUUGAUCGUGGCUCAGAUUGAACGCUGGCGGCAUGCCUUACACAUGCAAGUCGAACGGCAGCACGGGAGCUUGCUCCUGGUGGCGAGUGGCGAACGGGUGAGUAAUGCAUCGGAACGUAUCCUGGAGUGGGGGAUAACGUAGCGAAAGUUACGCUAAUACCGCAUAUUCUGUGAGCAGGAAAGCGGGGGACCUUCGGGGCCUCGCGCUCUUGGAGCGGCCGAUGUCGGAUUAGCUAGUUGGUGAGGUAAAGGCUCACCAAGGCGACGAUCCGUAGCAGGUCUGAGAGGAUGAUCUGCCACACUGGAACUGAGACACGGUCCAGACUCCUACGGGAGGCAGCAGUGGGAAUUUUGGACAAUGGGGGCAACCCUGAUCCAGCCAUGCCGCGUGAGUGAAGAAGGCCUCGGUU
rnacentral:rRNA from 1 species